rnacentral:rRNA from 1 species
UACGGAGGGUGCAAGCGUUGUUCGGAAUUAUUGGGCGUAAAGCGCGUGUAGGCGGCUUUGCAAGUCGGGUGUGAAAUCCCUCAGCUUAACUGAGGAAGUGCGCCCGAAACUGCCGAGCUUGAGUACCGGAGAGGGUGGCGGAAUUCCCCAAGUAGAGGUGAAAUUCGUAGAUAUGGGGAGGAACACCGGUGGCGAAGGCGGCCACCUGGACGGAUACUGACGCUGAGACGCGAAAGCGUGGGGAGCAAACAGG